UAAGUCAGAUGUGAAAGCCCGGGGCUCAACCUCGGAACCGCAUUUGAAACUGGCAGGCUAGAGUCUUGUAGAGGGGGGUAGAAUUUCAGGUGUAGCGGUGAAAUGCGUAGAGAUCUGAAGGAAUACCAGUGGCGAAGGCGGCCCCCUGGACAAAGACUGACGCUCAGAUGCGAAAGCGUGGGUAGCAAACAGGAUUAGAUACCCUGGUAGUCCACGCCGUAAACGCUGUCUACUUGGAGGUUGAGGUUUAGACUUUGGCUUUCGGCGCUAACGCAUUAAGUAGACCGCCUGGGGAGUACGGCCGCAAGGUUAAAACUCAAAUGAAUUGACGGGGGCCCGCACAAGCGGUGGAGCAUGUGGUUUAAUUCGAUGCAACGCGAAGAACCUUACCUACUCUUGACAUCCAGAGAACUUUCCAGAGAUGGAUUGGUGCCUUCGGGAACUCUGAGACAGGUGCUGCAUGGCUGUCGUCAGCUCGUGUUGUGAAAUGUUGGGUUAAGUCCCGCAACGAGCGCAACCCUUAUCCUUGUUUGCCAGCACGUAAUGGUGGGAACUCCAGGGAGACUGCCGGUGAUAAACCGGAGGAAGGUGGGGACGACGUCAAGUCAUCAUGGCCCUUACGAGUAGGGCUACACACGUGCUACAAUGGCAGA
rnacentral:rRNA from 1 species